rnacentral:lncRNA from 1 species
CCAUAUCGUUUGAAUCAAGUUUGUCUAGUGUGCUACCCUUUAAACUUUUUCCAGGUUCACAAAAUAUUGGUUAACCACCCUCAGAUUCAAUUACACCAUCAUCAUAAUUUCUCUCCGGACAAUUAAACUUUGUCUUUAUUGUAUUCAAAUACCUUGAAUAUAAAGUCAUACAUUCAACUGCUAAAUAUCCCUCUACAAUCGAACCUUCAGGGUGAGCCAUAUUACCAAUAGAACACUACAAAAAUUGUAGGUAUCUCUCUAUUGGAUACAUCCAUCGAUAUUGAAUUGGUCCG